UAUUAAAAGUGAGAUUCAAACUAGAUCAACAAACGAGUAAGUGGCAUCUGAAAAUUGUUUAAUGAUAAAUAUUGUCAUCUUCAUACCUCAUCUUAUGUCUAUAUUUUAAUAUGGGAGGAAACGGGAAAAGAGAUGCAUCCGAAAAAUGUCUAAUGAUAAAUAUUAUCAUACCUACGCUCGCCUUCAAUCUGUAAUUUAAAAUGGAAUACAGAAAUAUAAAGGGUUCGUUGAUGAAUAACAUUUGGUAGAUUCCACUGAGUUUAGAAAAUUAAAGUUCAUUUAUUAGAAAAUAACAAUAAAUUGUAAGCACUGAGACAAAUUUUGCGAUAGACGACGUAAAUCGAGUUCCCAACAUCGACGCAAAAUCCCACAACUAUUCCAACUUUCCCAUAACUAUAUUAUUACCUACACGAAGACCUAAAAGUGACAAGUUUAUUUAUCGACUAGCAGUGAGUAUUCAACCAGCAAAACCACACUAGAAUGAUAUGGGAUAUGUGAUCGGCUACAUCAAUGGCAAGUUUAAAAUGUAUAGAAUGCAAUUUAUGUAUGUAUAUAUAUACACAUAACGUAGCUUUCGAAACCACUGUACAUUUGGAAGGAGAUAAUCGGGAGACCUUAAAAGCUGGAGAAUUCAACAGAAAAUGAUAAUAAUUUCAUGAAGUUUACUGGCAAUCAGCCAUUUUUUAUAUUUAACGAAACAAAAAAAAUCAAUAGGUCAAUACUAUCAAUAUUGCAAGCCUAUAAACUUUUUUUUAUCAAUUUG